rnacentral:rRNA from 2 species
UGGGGAAUAUUGGACAAUGGGCGCAAGCCUGCUCCAGCCAUGCCGCGUGUGUGAAGAAGGCCUUUUGGUUGUAAAGCACUUUAAGCGAGGAGGAGGCUACUUGGAUUAAUACUCUAGGAUAGUGGACGUUACUCGCAGAAUAAGCACCGGCUAACUCUGUGCCAGCAGCCGCGGUAAUACAGAGGGUGCGAGCGUUAAUCGGAUUUACUGGGCGUAAAGCGUGCGUAGGCGGCUUUUUAAGUCGGAUGUGAAAUCCCUGAGCUUAACUUAGGAAUUGCAUUCGAUACUGGGAAGCUAGAGUAUGGGAGAGGAUGGUAGAAUUCCAGGUGUAGCGGUGAAAUGCGUAGAGAUCUGGAGGAAUACCGAUGGCGAAGGCAGCCAUCUGGCCUAAUACUGACGCUGAGGUACGAAAGCAUGGGGAGCAAACAGG